rnacentral:miRNA from 1 species
UAUCACAAGCCCGAUACGACCAU